GCGGGGAUAGCUCAGUUGGGAGAGCGUCAGACUGAAGCCAAAACUUCUGUCAUCACAUCUGAAGGUCGUGCGUUCGAUCCGCACUCACCGCA